rnacentral:ncRNA from 1 species
CACAAAAUUUGGUCCCUGAUUUUAAAAUCCGUUCUUUCUUAACCUACACAUGCAAGUUUCCCCAUCCCCGGUGAGUUACCCCUCUACCCCCACCCGGGUUAACAGGGUCGGAAUUAGGCACUAUAAUUAGCCCAAAACACCUAGCAACAGCCACACCCAUAAGGGUUACAGCAGUGAUCAACAUUAGUAAUAAGUGUCAACUAGAUCUAGUUAAAGAAAAACAGAGCCGGCAAAUACGGUGCCAGCCGCCGCGGUUAAACCCACAGGCUCAAAUUGAUUUUUUCCCGGCGUAAAGCGUGAUUAAAGUGCCAACAAACUAGAGUCUAACUCAAACUAAGCAGUGACAUGCUUGUUUUAAAGAACCCUAGAAACGAAAGUUACUCUACCCUAACAACUUGAAUCCACGAUAGCUAAGACAUAAACUGGGAUUAGGUACCCCACUAUACUUAGCCUUAAACUUUAAAUUACUUUUUCCCAUCGCCAAGGAAUUACGAGCAAAGCUUAAAACCUAAAGGACUUGACGGUACCCCCACUUCCCCCUAGAGGAGCCUGUCCUACAACCGAUAUUCCCCGUUCAACCUCACCGCUAAUAGCCUUUCAGCCUGUAUACUUCCGUCCCAGCUUACCAUGUGAGUGAACAGUAAGCCCACAACGCACUAUUUAUCUACCACAUCAGGUCAAGGUGCAGCAGAUAAAGCGGAAAGAGAUGGGCUACACUUUCUAUAUUAGAACACACGAAAAGUUAACAUGCAAUUCAACUAGAAGGUGGAUUUAGUAGUAAAAAGAAAUUAGAGUGUUCUUUUUAACUUGGUACUGGGGUAUGUACAAACCGCCCGUCACCCUCUUCAAUAACACAAUCAUAGUACUUAACAAACUUUCACAAAAAGAAGAGGUAAGUCGUAACAUGGUAAGUAUACCGGAAGGUGUACUUGGAAA